UAAAUAGAUACCUCUUGCUGAUCAUCGCAGGCUCAUUUGCAUAUAACUGAGUUAUCUGCUAGCAGAUAACUGAAUUUUCUGUAUGUUGCAUGAUUGCGCAAUUUAACUGUAAGCUCUUAGCCAAUCAAAUUGCUUUUACCAACUACAAUGUAUAAUAAAUGCAUUUAUUAUUAGCAUGACAAAAUUACUGGAUGCUGAUUGGUUGAGAGGAGUACAAUUAUUUCAUUAAUUGUAUUGCAGUACAAUUAAUGAUUU